rnacentral:lncRNA from 1 species
UAAUCAACUAAUUUGCUGUUGAUUAACAUUGAGUUGUUUCCAAUCUUUUGCUAUUACAGAUUGUGUUACAGAGAAUAGUCUUGUGCAUAUGUUAUUUGGUAAUGUUUGACCAAUUAUUUUGUUUUACACUGGGGUUGAAUAGCUGUGGCCUAACCUUGGGCUUUUUGAUAGGUUGAUUUGGGGCAUUUUUUUUUCCUACCAGUGGAAUUUUUUUUUAAAGGCAGUAGUUGUAUUAUGCAGGAGAAAGUUUUUUAUUGGUAUUGUGCAAGAUGAGAUCAGU